CAUCGCUUCAGGGCGGGGUGUGAUUCCCCACCGGUGGUAAAUGGAAAAAAGUUUUGCUUUUUAUCCUGUAGCCCACGAGCCGAUCAUCAUGUGAUUGGCAGAUUUGGUUAAAUUCCAAAGCCGACGGUAUAGUCCGGAUGAAAGAAGACGACA
rnacentral:ncRNA from 2 species